UCUAUGCGGAUGCAAGACAAAGGACGCGACUUUUCUUCAAGACAUGGUCGCUUUGGUCUCUCCGCGUCUCCUUGUUGUGAGGCCAAUCGGAUCGCUCAUCCGGGAUCAUGCUGAUAACGUGUUGAAUGAAAUCAAGAAACAAACAAGAGAGACAACAAAUGAUUCAACUGUCUCCUUUUCAUUGAUGAUGAUGUCUUAUAUAGUAUUACAAAGGGUGCCUCCAAGGGGUGUGUGUACAAAGGGACAUGAGCAACCGACAUGCCAAAAGUAACUGCCUUGGUAAUUAAAAAAAGCAAGGAUUAACAUAAUUAAUUAAUCAUAGCAAAGAUAACACUCACGGCAACACAUUCUGUUUUCUUGCAGAUGGAAACACAACCACUCUUCACCGUGGAUAUCCCUCAAUUUUUACGUGCAUACAUUCUCAUCAUUCUUGAGUUUAAAAGAAUUACCACAGUUGUGAUCCUUCAACUGGUCCUGUAAACAUCUCCAAAUACCCGACUUCUGUGACAAAAUAAAAAUAAAAUCAAGCACCCCCGCUCAUUAGUAAAGAUCCUAGCAAGUGCAACAAAAUGCCAGUAAUCUUUAUUUUUGCAAGGUGCGGCGAGGGCAAGAGGUAUUGUGACACGUAUGCUGAUUCAGCAGAAAUAUAUAAUCAUGCAAGUGGACAAUCAAAAUAGUUUAAAGUCAACUGGUUACAUCUAAGGAUGCAACUGGACAAUCAAAAAUAUUUUGAAUCGACUGUUUUUUGUAAUCUAGAGUUUCCACCAGUACAGUUUGCAGUAGUUUCUCUCGUGCUCCCUCCUUCCCAAAAUAUAAGGCGUCAGUUGACUUUCUUGGUCUUAGUUGCAGAACUUUGA
rnacentral:lncRNA from 1 species